rnacentral:lncRNA from 1 species
CCCCAUUCCCACCAAUUCCCUCCGUGGUUUUUCCCGGGAUCAAAUCCAAAACUGCUGGAAAAUCCCAAAUCCCCCCCAGAAUUCCUCAAUCCCGGCUACCAUCCCCCAUUCCUGGGAUGGGACCCCGGGAGAAUCCCGAGGGAUCCCGGAUUUCCCAGAGAUUCCCGAGGAUUUCCCCUUUCCCGGGUUGGCUUUUCUGGGCCCCCGGGAGCCUCCGGAAUGUGGAAUUCCACAUCCGGCCGCCGCAGGAUCCCGGGUUAAUGAUUAAACCUCCCGGGAGAGCCGGGAAUGUGCGGCCGGAUCGGGAAAAGGGAUCCCGGGAAUCCUGGGAGCCGCUUCCCGAGGCUCCAGGGGCUGCGGGAGAGCUGGGAUUUGGGAAAGGGCCGCAGGGCCAGGAGCCAGGGAAUGGCUUCCCAAUGGGAAAGGGGAGCUGGGAGCUCGGGAAGGAAUUCCCAGAGAAUCCCUGGGAUCACUUUCCCAGUGGCCAUUUGGAUGAAAUUCCGAUGGAAUUCCAGCCUGGAAUCCCACCCUGUCCACUUCUCCUGGCUCUUCUGCCUUGAGUCUGCACCAGGGAUGGUUUGGACAAAAAUCCAACGGAAUUCCAGCCCAGGAAUUCCCAAACUUGAACCACUCUGGAACCCAAACUUCCCCAGAUUCUCCUCAUUUCCCAAUUUAUGUUUGGACAAAAUUCCAACAGAAUUCCAGACAGGAAUUCCCAAACUUUUAAACCUGAGCUGCCCCAGAUUCUCCUCAUUUCCCAAUCAAUAUUUGGACAAAAUUCCAAUGGAAUUCCAACCUGGAAUCCCACCCUUCUCCUGGCUCUUCUACCUUGCACCAAGAGGACGGUUUGGACAAAAUUCCAGUGAAAUUCCAGCCAGGAAUUUCCAAAAUUUUAAACCAGAGCCACCCCAGAUUCUCCACACGGCAAGGCUGGAGCGCCCCUGGCCGGCCGGGCCAGGAUUGGAUCUCCACGAAUCCCACCCGAACCGUUCCCCAUUUCCCAUUCCCCAUUCCCCAUUUCCAUUAUUCCCCAUUUCCCAUCAUUUCCCAUCAUUUCCCGUCAUUCCCGUUUUCCUAAGAGUUGAUCCGCUCCAUCCUGCAGAGCGGCCGGAUCGGGCCGGGAUUGGAUCUCCACGAAUCCCACCCGAACCAUUUCCCAUUUCCCAUUCCCCAUUCCCCAUUCCCAUUCCCCAUUCCCCAUUCCCAUUCCCAUUCCCCAUUCCCCAUUCCCAUUCCCAUCAUUUCCCGUCAUUUCCCGUCAUUCCCGUUUUCCCAGGAGGUGAUCCGCUCCAUCCUGCAGAGCAGCCCGAUUGGGCCGGGAUUGGAUCUCCAUGAAUCCCACCCGAACCAUUUCCCAUUUCCCAUUCCCCAUUCCCAUUCCCCAUUCCCAUUCCCCAUUCCCCAUUCCCCAUUCCCAUUCCCAUUCCCCAUUCC